GCGCAAUGAGCGAAAGCUAGACGCAGCAACGCCGCGUGGGUGAUGAAGGCCUUCGGGUCGUAAAACCCUUUUCUGGGGGAAGAGUAAGGACGGUACCCCAGGAAUAAGCCUCGGCUAACUAUGUGCCAGCAGCCGCGGUAAUACAUAGGAGGCAAGCGUUAUCCGGAUUUACUGGGCGUAAAGAGCGUUGAGGCGGCUUCGUAAGUUGGACGUGAAAGCUCCCGGCUUAACUGGGAGAGGCCGUUCAAUACUGCGGGGCUUGAGGACAGCAGAGGGGGGUGGAAUUUCCGGUGUAGUGGUGAAAUGCGUAGAUAUCGGAAGGAACACCAGUGGCGAAGGCGGCCCCCUGGGCUGCUCCUGACGCUGAAGGCGAAAGCUAGGGUAGCGAACGGGAUUAGAAACCCCGGUAGUCCUAGCCGUAAACGAUGGAUACUAGGUGUAGGAGGUUAAAACUCCUUCUGUGCCGGAGCUAACGCGUUAAGUAUCCCGCCUGGGGAGUACGGUCGCAAGGCUAAAACUCAAAGGAAUUGACGGGGGCCCGCACAAGCAGCGGAGCGUGUGGUUUAAUUCGAUGCAACGCGAAGAACCUUACCAGGGCUUGACAUGUAGGUAGUAGUGAAGCGAAAGCGGAACGAUCCUUCGGGAAGCCUACACAGGUGCUGCAUGGCUGUCGUCAGCUCGUGCCGUGAGGUGUUAGGUUAAGUCCUGUAACGAGCGCAACCCCUGCCGUUAGUUACAAGUGUCUAACGGGACUGCCCGGCAAAACUGGGAGGAAGGUGGGGAUGACGUCAAGUCAGCAUGGCCUUUAUGUCCUGGGCUACACACACGCUACAAUGGCCGGUACAAUGGGUUGCCAAGCCGCGAGGCGGAGCCAAUCCUCUAAAGCCGGUCUCAGUUCGAAUUGUAGGCUGCAACCCGCCUGCAUGAAGUUGGAGUUGCUAGUAACCGCAGGUCAGCCACACUGCGGUGAAUACGUUCCCGGGCCUUGUACA
rnacentral:rRNA from 1 species